AGCAGUCGUAACUUCAUUCAGUAUAAUUUUAAUGAUAACUCAUUGAUAGAUUUCUUUGAAAAGAUGUUGGGAUUAAUGGCUUAAUGGCUUAUGAUCUGUUAUGAUUCUUAUAUGGAGACCUAUUAUAAAAGCUUUGAAACAAUCAUAUUCCCAAACUAUGAUCUAUGCCUCUUUUCAAUUUGAUCCAUAUUCUUCUGAGCAUGAGUUAGAUUUUUGGAUGUUUAAUCCACUGGUCAAAAUAGUGUCUUGUCUUGUUUCUGUUUCAAAAUUGCUCUCAGAGGUGUCAAGAGAUGUUGGGCCUGGGGAAAAAUUUACAUAGGUCCCAAAUAGUUUUAAAGUUAUAAGAUUGGGGCAAUUUAUUACCCUCCUUUGGUCUCUGAUUUUCAUCACUGUCUUUCUACAGUUAAUUAGCAUGUAAAAAAGAAAUUGUAGGACAAUGACCGGGCCCUGUGAAUCCAGGGCAUGGGGAAUUUCAUCUGCAUCAUCUCCUCCUCUUAUCAGCCUUGACUGCUCCUAUACUCUAUGGAGAUGCAUCAGCUAAAAUGAUCAUUUCUUAGCUGGAUCAAACAAAGCAUGACUUGGGUUUGCACUGAGCUCCUUUUUCAAUUCUUGGAAAGCACUUUCUUGGGAAGCACUAGUGUCGGCUAAGUCCGAUAAUUUCAAAAUUAAAUAUAUUCCGAAAUUGGAAAUUUGCCG
rnacentral:lncRNA from 1 species